rnacentral:rRNA from 1 species
GACGAACGCUGGCGGCGUGCUUAACACAUGCAAGUCGAACGGAAAGGCCCUGCUUUUGUGGGGUGCUCGAGUGGCGAACGGGUGAGUAACACGUGAGUAACCUGCCCUUGACUUUGGGAUAACUUCAGGAAACUGGGGCUAAUACCGGAUAGGAGCUCCUGCUGCAUGGUGGGGGUUGGAAAGUUUCGGCGGUUGGGGAUGGACUCGCGGCUUAUCAGCUUGUUGGUGGGGUAGUGGCUUACCAAGGCUUUGACGGGUAGCCGGCCUGAGAGGGUGACCGGCCACAUUGGGACUGAGGUACGGCCCAGACUCCUACGGGAGGCAGCAGUGGGGAAUAUUGCACAAUGGGCGGAAGCCUGAUGCAGCAACGCCGCAUGCGGGAUGACGGCCUUCGGGUUGUAAACCGCUUUCGCCUGUGACGAAGCGUGAGUGACGGUAAUGGGUAAAGAAGCACCGGCUAACUACGUG